rnacentral:lncRNA from 1 species
GAAAGAUUAAUUUGGCAAAAAAAAAAUUUUUUUUUGACUGGUGAACCAAAGCCAGUGCUUUAUAUUGAAUAUUUAUAUAUUUAUCAUUUGAAGAAAAAACCAUGUUCAUUUAUUUAUUUAUUUUAUUGUUGUUCAAACACAAUAAACGUGACAAAAUAAACAUGCUCUCCCUGAGCCAAGGUUUGGUGGAUAUUGUUGAUGGUCUAAAGGGAAGAAAAAGUGGGCUCUUCUUGAGCUUAUGCAUAGUUGGAAUUGCUGAUUCUUUGUGGAGGACUGUUGUGGGAAGAAAAAUGUGCUCUCCCUCUGCCCGUGGCUAGUUGAUUUCAAUGAUUGUUUUCUCCGAUUGGACGCCCUCUCGGAAAAUAGUCGAAUCGAGAAUUUUCAAACUCUGACACCAUUUUGUAAAGUGCGGUCACAGGCCUGCCAAUAGCAUGCAUGCAAGCCAUGAGGCGGGUUCUUUAAACUUGGCGAGUUAUGUAUCUUUUCAUGUAUCACCCGUCUUUAUACGUCGUAUACUUAAAUCAAUAAACAGUGCUUUGAAACCCGAUGAAUCAUUUAG